CCUACGGGGGGCUGCAGUGAGGAAUAUUGGUCAAUGGGAGAGAUCCUGAACCAGCCAAGCCGCGUGAGGGAAGACGGCCCUAUGGGUUGUAAACCUCUUUUGUCGGAGAACAAAACCCGGGACGUGUCCCGGACUGCGUGUAUCCGAAGAAAAAGCAUCGGCUAACUCCGUGCCAGCAGCCGCGGUAAUACGGAGGAUGCGAGCGUUAUCCGGAUUUAUUGGGUUUAAAGGGUGCGUGGGCGGUCCGUUAAGUCAGCGGGAAAAUUUCGGGGCUCAACCCCGUCGAGCCGUUGAAACUGGCAGACUUGAGUUGGCGAGAGGUACGCGGAAUGCGCGGUGUAGCGGUGACAUGCAUAGAUAUCGCGCAGAACUCCGAUUGCGAAGGCAGCGUACCGGCGCCAGACUGACGCUGAGGCACGAAAGCGUGGGGAUCGAACAGGAUUAGAUACCCGGGUAGUC
rnacentral:rRNA from 1 species